GAUGAACGCUGGCGGCGUGCCUAAUACAUGCAAGUAGAACGCUGAAGGAGGAGCUUGCUCUUCUGGAUGAGUUGCGAACGGGUGAGUAACGCGUAGGUAACCUGCCUGGUAGCGGGGGAUAACUAUUGGAAACGAUAGCUAAUACCGCAUGACAACAGUUAUUGCAUGAUAACUGUUUAAAAGGGGCAACUGCUCCACUACCAGAUGGACCUGCGUUGUUAUAGCUAGUUGGUGAGGUAACGGCUCAACAAGGCGACGAUACAUAGCCGGCCUGAGAGGGGGGUCGGCCAAACUGGGACUGGGGCACGGCCCAGGCUCCUACGGGAGGCAGCCGUAGGGAAUCUUCGGCAAUGGACGGAAGUCUGACCGAGGCACGCCGCGUGAGGGAAGGAGGGUUUCGGAUCGUAAAGCUCUGUUGUAAGGGAAGAACGAGUGUGAGAGUGGAAAGUUCACACUGUGACGGUAUCUGACCAGAAAGGGACGGCUAACUACGUG
rnacentral:rRNA from 1 species